rnacentral:rRNA from 1 species
AAUCAACGCUGGCGGCGUGCCUAACACAUGCAAGUCGAGCGAGAAAAGGGGGGCAACUCCCUGAGUACAGCGGCGCACGGGUGAGUAACACGUGGGUAAUCUGCCCUGAAGUGGGGAAUAACACUGGGAAACCGGUGCUAAUACCGCAUAUGAUCACGAUGUCUGCGGACGUAGUGAUGAAAGGAGCAAUUCGCUUCAGGAGGAGCCCGCGGCUGAUUAGCUAGUUGGUGAGGUAAUGGCUCACCAAGGCAACGAUCAGUAUCCGGUCUGAGAGGACGGUCGGACACACUGGAACUGAGACACGGUCCAUACUCCUACGGGAGGCAGCAGUGGGGAAUUUUUCGCAAUGGGGGAAACCCUGACGAAGCAACGCCGCGUGGGUGAUGAAGUCUCUUGGGACGUAAAACCCUUUCGACAGAGAAGAAACCGCAAGGUUGACGGUACCUGUAGAAGAAGCCCCGGCUAACUCCGUGCCAGCCGCCGCAGUAAGAC